UACGGGGGGGGCAAGCGUCGUUCGGAAUUACUGGGCGUAAAGGGCUCGUAGGCGGCCAACUAAGUCAGACGUGAAAUCCCUCGGCUUAACCGGGGAACUGCGUCUGAUACUGGAUGGCUUGAAUCCGGGAGAGGGAUGCGGAAUUCCAGGUGUAGCGGUGAAAUGCGUAGAUAUCUGGAGGAACACCGGUGGCGAAGGCGGCAUCCUGGACCGGCAUUGACGCUGAGGAGCGAAAGCCAGGGGAGCAAACGGG
rnacentral:rRNA from 1 species